rnacentral:rRNA from 1 species
UGGCGGCAUGCCUAACACAUGCAAGUCGAACGGUAACGGACCGCUGGGAUUCCUUCGGGAUGACCUUGGUGCCGACGAGUGGCGGACGGGUGAGUAAUACUUAGGAAUCUGCCCAGUAGUGGGGGACAACAUUCGGAAACGGAUGCUAAUACCGCAUACGCACUACGGUGGAAAGUGGGGGAUCUUCGGACCUCACGCUAUUGGAUGAGCCUAAGUCGGAUUAGCUUGUUGGUGAGGUAAUGGCUCACCAAGGCGACGAUCCGUAGCUGGGUCUGAGAGGACGAUCAGCCACACUGGGACUGAGACACGGCCCAGACUCCUACGGGAGGCAGCAGUGGGGAAUAUUGGACAAUGGGCGCAAGCCUGAUCCAGCAAUGCCGCGUGUGUGAAGAAGGCCUGCGGGUUGUAAAGCACUUUCAGUAGAGAAGAAAAGCCUAGGGUUAAUACCCCUGAGUCUUGACGUAACCUACAGAAGAAGCACCGGCUAACUCCGUG